rnacentral:rRNA from 1 species
GCUUAACACAUGCAAGUCGAGCGAGAAUCGUUUUGCUGAAGGCUUCGGUCUGACGCAGAAUGAGGAAAGCGGCGAACGGGUGAGUAACGCGUGGGCAACCUGGCCUUAAGAAAAGGAUAGCCCCCGGAAACGGGGAGUAAUACUUUAUGAGAAUGAAAGAGGGCAUCCUACUUUCAUUCAAAGCGCAAGCGCUUAAGGAUGGGCCCGCGUAUCAUUAGCUAGUUGGUGAGAUAACAGCCCACCAAGGCAACGAUGAUUAGCCGGUCUGAGAGGGCGAACGGCCACAUUGGAACUGAGAGACGGUCCAAACUCCUACGGGAGGCGGCAGUGGGGAAUAUUGCGCAAUGGAGAAGAACUCUGACGCAGCAAUACCGCGUGAGCGAAGAAGGUCUUCGGAUCGUAAAGCUCUGUUAUCAGGGAAGAAGAAAAUGACGGUACCUGAUGAGCAAGUCCCGGCUAACUCCGUGCCAGCCGCCGCAGUAA